AUUGAACGCUGGCGGCAGGCCUAACACAUGCAAGUCGAGCGAGAGGCGGACGGGGGAGUAAUGUAUGGGGACUGUCCGUUAGAGGGGGAUAAAUCCUGGAAACGGUAGCUAAUACCGCAUACUAUCGGAUAAUCCAUAUGGGAUUAGCUAGUAGGUGGGGUAAUGGCUCACCUAGGCGACGAUCCCUAGCUGGGCUGAGAGGAUGAUCAGCCACACUGGGACUGAGACACGGCCCAGACUCCUACGGAGGCAGCAGUGGGGAAUAUUGCACAAUGGGCGCAAGCCUGAUGCAGCCAUGCCGCGUGUAUGAAGAAGGCCCUAGGGUUGUAAAGUACUUUCAGUCGGGAGGCGUUACCGACAGAAGAAGCACCGGCUAACUCCGUGCCAGCAGCCGCGGUAAUUC
rnacentral:rRNA from 1 species